rnacentral:SRP_RNA from 1 species
ACUGGGUGUGGUGGUGCAUACCUGUAGUCCUGGCUACUUGGGAGGCUGAGGUAGGAGGAUUGCUUGAGUUCAGGCAUUUUGGGCUGUAGUAUGUUAUGCUAAUUGGGUGCUCACAUUAAGUUCAACAUUGGUAUGGUGAACUUCCAGGAGGGGUGAACCAGACUAGGUUGAAAACAGAGCAGGUAAAAACUUUUGUGUUGCUUGUAGUGGAAUUGCACCUGUGAACAGCCACUGUGGUCCAGCCUGGGCAACAUAGCGAGACUCCAUCUCU